UGAGGUCACGGAGGGGUCAUCCCUUGUGCUCAGCUGGCUGCCGGAGCCAGAACCUAGUCUCCUGGCAUCUAUUGCAAAGCUCACCCCUCAUCCCCCAACCCCCUAAAGGGAGAAAGGGUCACUGCUCUGAAAAGAGGGAGGAACUAAGCAGUGCUCUCCUCAGCAAGCCAGGGAAGGUGAUCCUGACUAAAAGCCAGAAGAGGGGCAGAGUUUGGUCUGCCAGGCUUCAGGGAGAGAAUUCCAUACCGCGAGAAAAACUUUGAUUAUAGAGCGGGCUCGAGAUGAAGGGGAGGAGCUGGCUGAGCAGCAGCUGGAGGCUUCAGACGGAAGCCCUGGGUCUCCCUCUCGGGACUCAGUGGGCAUGGACUUGGGGAACAGCUUUAGGACCGACAAACCUUGAGCGAUGAGGUUUCGGGGAGCCCGGGCCCUAUGCCCCUGCCUCUUUGACCACUCGUCCCUGAGCCUCAGUUUCCUCACUGGCAAAACAGAGGUGGUAACACCCCCUGUAGCCUGGCUCAAGGCCAAGUCUUCACAAAUGUUACUGCCUCUCUUCUGUGCCCAACCACCCUCCACCGACCCUUACUGGGUUCAGGCUUCAUAGGGAUGCAGUCUGAUCAUCCAGCUCUCCCACUCAUUCAUUCCUGCAGGGAGCAUCACCAGGCCCUGUGCCCAGCCCAGAACCUGAUAAGACCAUGUCCUCCGUGAGGAGCUCCUGCAGCAGGGGGGAGGGCAUCGAGGCAGUCCUGCAGGCGCAUGAUUACCGUGCUGUGUCAUUGGGGCUUUGUGGAGUUAGGGAGAGACCUCAUUCGUGAGGCCGUAUGUCAGCACCUCAACAUGAAUUCCCUUAAUUAUUUUUUACAAGCCCCGAAAUGACAAGAUCCUAAAAGGGAGAGGACCACCUCCACGGUGCUCUUUCCUGAGAGGCCAGAACCCUGGCUUUGCAUCCCUGCUUGGCCACCAGCUCGCCUAGGACCGUCCAUGGGUUUUUCCCUCUUGGAAAGAAAUCACUGCCUCUUCGGCCUCCUCCUCGUGAGGAACUGGUGCGGGGAUGUUUGAGAGUGAGUGCCCUGUCACAUACGGGGUAAGCACGAACCUUCCCCACAGACUAACCCUUUGAGCGGUUCUGGCCUCUCACCUCUUUUCCUGGACAACUUGUGGAGAGUCUACAGGGGGACGCCUCACCACCUUUUCUUAAGCUAAAUUCUGCCAAUCCCUGCCCCACACUGCUAGUGGCCGCCCUCUAGGGCAGGGCGGGGAGCUGGGGCCCUGGGCCUGAUCCCCACCCCCUUGCCAUGUGACCUUGCUCUCCUCUGCUCAUUCUUCUCCAGGCACCGCCCCCCCCCCCCCCCGACACCCACCCCGUUUCCCCAUCUGUUCACCUAGGAGGGGCUGGCCCAGGAAGUCUUUAACGUUUCCAAAGCCAUCUUCUGUGAAGUAUCAGUGAACUUUAUCCUUGUUACUUCAGUCUUAAAGGUAUUGGUUGAAAGAAAGUAUGUUAAAACAAGCAUUUAAUCAAAGGAUUUUUUUCAUUAAAGAAUAAACUUUACAUCUCUGGGGUGCAGAAGUGUCAAGAAUCUUGGAGUCAAAGCAGACUUGGGAGGGUCUCUGAGGGACGAAGACAAACAUGGCCCUUCCUUGGUUCCCUGUUGCUUGUGGUCCUGACUCAGCUUGGCUGUCAAAGCCCUGCGCCACCCUUGAGGGUGGGGGCUUGAUCUUUGUCCCUUCACCAGGCACAGUACCUGGUGCUGCCCUUGACCAGGCCUGGCAUAGAACCUGCUGGUUGGCUGGCCAGGGACGUGGAUGGGUGGAAGGCUCAGUCAGUCAAUCUCUAGACUCUCUAAGGAGUUAAGUGGCCCUCACUCUCCCAGAAGUGAGGGAAUUCAGUUUGCCUCCCAAGUCUCCUCUUGGCAACUCUGAAGUGGCAGUAUUUUCCAGCCUCUAGGCUCGUAUUUUACACACACAUAUCACAGACACUAAUGUGUCACAAGAGAUACGUGAGAAGAACCUUGUAAAAGGCUCUAUAGCCUGGUAUCCUUCCUGUGGCAACAGGUGGCUGUGAAUCACCUCCCCUCCCUGGGCCUCAGUUUCCCCAUGUGUAAAAUGAAGCACUUGGACUAGAUAAUCCUUGAGUUCCUUUCUAGCUCUAGCAUCACCCUCAGAUGCCCUGGUACCCAGAACAGUAAUUGGACAAGGGACAUGGUGACCCCAGGAUCUGGGUCAGUCCACAUCUUGGAGCAUGGCGGAAUCGUGGUGAUGGCUGCAGCCCCCUGGAAACUGAACAUGGCAGGAACUGGCUGAGAAAUUUUUUUGCUGAUGGUGAAAUGUCCUGGCAGAGUCUAUGCAGCUGGAAUGUAUGUUUAUGAUUGAAAUGAGAUAUGAUCUAACCUUUCUGCAAACAUACAGCUGAUUAUUGCAACAUGACGGACUGUCUAGUUCCUUCUCUCUCCACUGAUCUGAAGUGAAACUCCCUCAUAUACUGAAUUGCCACGUCUAGGUGCUGUUGGGUGAAAACAUGAUACUUGGAACUCUGACAGCCAUCUUGUGCCCAGGAGGGGAAGGCCAGGAGAUGCAACUCUGUGCUGACUCAGUUCGGACACCUGGCACCACUGACUUCUGGACUUUCUUUGAAAUAAAUAAAAUGGUCUUGCUGUUUAAGCCACUCUCGGGUUUUUUGUUA